rnacentral:rRNA from 1 species
UCGAGGAUCUUCGGCAAUGGGCGCAAGCCUGACCGAGCGAGGCCGCGUGGGCGAUGAAGGCCUUCGGGUUGUAAAGCCCUGUCGAGGGGGAGAAAAGCCGAAAGGUGUGAUCUAUCCCUGGAGGAAGCACGGGCUAAGUUCGUGCCAGCAGCCGCGGUAAGACGAACCGUGCGAACGUUGUUCGGAAUCACUGGGCUUAAAGGGCGCGUAGGCGGGCUGUCAAGUCCGGGGUGAAAUCCUCCAGCUUAACUGGAGAAUUGCCUCGGAUACUGAUGAUCUCGAGGAGGAUAGGGGCACACGGAACUGUGGGUGGAGCGGUGAAAUGCGUUGAUAUCCACAGGAACUCCGGUGGCGAAAGCGGUGUGCUGGAUCCUUUCUGACGCUGAUGCGCGAAAGCCAGGGGAGCAAACGG